CAAUUCAUUUUUUCUAUAACUACGCUAUAUUGUUUGUCCUUGUGUGUCCGUUCAUGUUUUUCAGCAUAAAGUACUCUGCAGCCACUUAGUGUGGUGUGGACACCAGGUGAGGCCACACACAGAUUCCUGUUGAACACUGUCGCUUUAACUACCUUAUUUUCUCAAUAACAGUCUCUCUCCUUCACUUCAUCCCUCUCUCCCCUUCUCCCUAAGUCCUCUAGGUUAUAUCAGCUGUGUCGGUGAACCCCUCCUGCAUCUGAACUGGCUACAUAGAGGGCACAGCAUGAUCAGAGAUAUGUUUUGAUGUGAGAGGAUGCCAACCCCCAGUCCCAUCAUCGCCACCUCACCUGCUUUUAAGAUAACCUGUGGGCCGACUAGAGACACUGUUAUGUAAUUGUGAUAAACUGAGAGAAUAUUUAUGUAGCACUGUGAUUCAUUAAUCAUGUGCUGCCUUCCCUGCUCCUAUGUGCUUACCUCUUUCCCUUUCUGUCUUUUACACCUCUCUCUCACCUCCUCUUUCUUCCUCUGUUUUUAUAAUGCACAACAGAUGUGCAUUGAAGUACAGAUUGAACUUGUAUUUAUAACACUUGGAUAAUGAGCUUUUCAAUAAAGCGUUUCACAUUC